rnacentral:lncRNA from 1 species
UUUCAAAUUCUUUACAAUUAUGGUGUAGAUUUGAAUUUAAGUUUGAAAUUGAAAAAUAAUUGAGUUGAUAGGUAAAAUAGGUUUGAUCGGGAAGCCAACACCAUCACCCACCACGACCCUUGCUGAUGGCGAAGGAUCAAAGAGAACAAUAUCAAAGGAGGGUUGAUCGUGCUAGAGCAGAGGCGGCCGACGAAAGGAAACACAACAAAAUAGGGUAGAUCUCACCUUCAAACAUGUUUAAGAACAUAGAAGACACCAAAGUGGUAUGUCACGGCAAAGCAACAAGCUUGUCGACGGCCAAUUGAAGCAACCUCAUAAAGGAUGAAAGGUGAUGACAGGAACCAACACACCACGAAUAAAAAGGCUACAUCUUGUCUUUGGUUGUUUGGAUUUUAGGGGGAUGGAAAUCACGGGCUAAAGGCUUGGUUUGGGUGGUGCUUGUUAGGUGAGAGAAGAGAGAAUUAUUUAAAUUUAUUUAUGUUGGUGGUGUGCCGAUUUCUAUAAGUGUCACCACCUUUCAAUCUUUAUGGGUAGUUGCAAUUGACGCACGCGAGCUUAUUACUAUGCCGCGACAUACCACUUUGGUGACACCUAUAGGAACUAAAGGACCACCAACAUUUUUCUUCUUCUU